rnacentral:rRNA from 1 species
CAUGAAGCUGGAUUCGCUAGUAAUCGCGCAUCAGCCACGGCGCGGUGAAUACGUUCCCGGGCCUUGUACACACCGCCCGUCAAGCCAUGGAAGCCGGGGGUGCCUGAAGUGCGCUGCCGCGAGGAGCGCCCUAGGGUAAAACCGGUGACUGGGGCUAAGUCGUAACAAGGUAAC